AAACUUCACACUGGGGGCAACCCCGAUGAGGGAAAUCCUAGUGCUAGGACAUUUGUUCUAGCUUUUCUCAAGCGUAGAUAACUUGAGGAAUAAGGGCUGGGUAAGACGGGUGCCAGCCGCCGCGGUAAUACCUGCAGCCCAAGUGGUGGUCGAUUUUAUUGAGUCUAAAACGUUCGUAGCCGGUUUGGUAAAUCUUUGGGUAAAUCGGGAGGCUCAACUUUCCGACUUCCGAAGAGACUGUCAAACUUGGGACCGGGAGAGGCUAGAGGUACUUCUGGGGUAGGGGUAAAAUCCUGUAAUCCUAGAAGGACCACCGGUGGCGAAGGCGUCUAGCUAGAACGGAUCCGACGGUGAGGGACGAAGCCCUGGGUCGCAAACGGGAUUAGAUACCCCGGUAGUCCAGGGUGUAAACGCUGCCGACUUGGUGUUGGGAGGCCCUUCGGGGGCGAUUCAGUGCCGGAGAGAAGUUGUUAAGUCGGCUACUUGGGGAGUACGUCCGCAAGGAUGAAACUUAAAGGAAUU
rnacentral:rRNA from 1 species